rnacentral:rRNA from 1 species
ACUGCGAAGGGGGGACGGAGAAGGCUAUGUCGGCCGGGCGACGGUUGUCCCGGUUUAAGCGUGUAGGCUGACUUUCCAGGCAAAUCCGGAAAGUCAAGGCUGAGGCGUGAUGACGAGGCACCACGGUGCUGAAGUGACAAAUGCCCUGCUUCCAGGAAAAGCCUCUAAGCAUCAGGUAACAUCAAAUCGUACCCCAAACCGACACAGGUGGUCAGGUAGAGAAUACCAAGGCGCUUGAGAGAACUCGGGUGAAGGAACUAGGCAAAAUGGUGCCGUAACUUCGGGAGAAGGCACGCUGACAUGUAGGUGAAGCCCCUGCGGGUGGAGCUGAAGUCAGUCGAAGAUACCAGCUGGCUGCAACUGUUUAUUAAAAACACAGCACUGUGCAAACACGAAAGUGGACGUAUACGGUGUGACGCCUGCCCGGUGCCGGAAGGUUAAUUGAUGGGGUUAUCGCAAGAGAAGCUCCUGAUCGAAGCCCCGGUAAACGGCGGCCGUAACUAUAACGGUCCUAAGGUAGCGAAAUUCCUUGUCGGGUAAGUUCCGACCUGCACGAAUGGCGUAAUGAUGGCCAGGCUGUCUCCACCCGAGACUCAGUGAAAUUGAACUCGCUGUGAAGAUGCAGUGUACCCGCGGCAAGACGGAAAGACCCCGUGAACCUUUACUACAGCUUGACACUGAACAUUGAGCCUUGAUGUGUAGGAUAGGUGGGAGGCUUUGAAGCGUGGACGCCAGUCUGCGUGGAGCCGACCUUGAAAUACCACCCUUUAAUGUUUGAUGUUCUAACCUGGCGCCGUGAUCCGGCGUGGGGACAGUGUCUGGUGGGUAGUUUGACUGGGGCGGUCUCCUCCCAAAGUGUAACGGAGGAGCACGAAGGUCAGCUAAUCCUGGUCGGACAUCAGGAGGUUAGUGCAAUGGCAUAAGCUGGCUUGACUGCGAGAGUGACGGCUCGAGCAGGUGCGAAAGCAGGUCAUAGUGAUCCGGUGGUUCUGUAUGGAAGGGCCAUCGCUCAACGGAUAAAAGGUACUCCGGGGAUAACAGGCUGAUACCGCCCAAGAGUUCAUAUCGACGGCGGUGUUUGGCACCUCGAUGUCGGCUCAUCACAUCCUGGGGCUGAAGUAGGUCCCAAGGGUAUGGCUGUUCGCCAUUUAAAGUGGUACGCGAGCUGGGUUUAGAACGUCGUGAGACAGUUCGGUCCCUAUCUGCCGUGGGCGCUGGAGAAUUGAGGGGGGCUGCUCCCAGUACGAGAGGACCGGAGUGGACGCAUCACUGGUGUUCGGGUUGUCAUGCCAAUGGCACUGCCCGGUAGCUAAAUGCGGAAGAGAUAAGUGCUGAAAGCAUCUAAGCACGAAACUUGCCCCGAGAUGAGUUCUCCCUGAGACUGUAAGUCUCCUGAAGGAACGUUGAAGACGACGACGUUGAUAGGCCGGGUGUGUAAGCGCAGCGAUGCGUUGAGCUAACCGGUACUAAUGAACCGUGAGGCUUAACCUU